UUAAGGGCGCACGGUGGAUGCCUUGGCACUAGAAGCCGAUGAAGGACGUUACUAACGACGAUAUGCUUUGGGGAGCUGUAAGUAAGCUUUGAUCCAGAGAUUUCCGAAUGGGGAAACCCAGCAUGAGUUAUGUCAUGUUAUCGAUAUGUGAAUACAUAGCAUAUCAGAAGGCACACCCGGAGAACUGAAACAUCUUAGUACCCGGAGGAAGAGAAAGAAAAUUCGAUUCCCUUAGUAGCGGCGAGCGAAACGGGAAGAGCCCAAACCAACAAGCUUGCUUGUUGGGGUUGUAGGACACUCUAUACGGAGUUACAAAGGACGACAUUAGACGAAUCAUCUGGAAAGAUGAAUCAAAGAAGGUAAUAAUCCUGUAGUCGAAAAUGUUGUCUCUCUUGAGUGGAUCCUGAGUACGACGGAGCACGUGAAAUUCCGUCGGAAUCUGGGAGGACCAUCUCCUAAGGCUAAAUACUCUCUAGUGACCGAUAGUGAACCAGUACCGUGAGGGAAAGGUGAAAAGCACCCCGGAAGGAGAGUGAAAUAGAACCUGAAACCGUGUGCUUACAAGUAGUCAGAGCCCGUUAAUGGGUGAUGGCGUGCCUUUUGUAGAAUGAACCGGCGAGUUACGAUUUGAUGCAAGGUUAAGCAGUAAAUGUGGAGCCGUAGCGAAAGCGAGUCUGAAUAGGGCGUUUAGUAUUUGGUCGUAGACCCGAAACCAGGUGAUCUACCCUUGGUCAGGUUGAAGUUCAGGUAACACUGAAUGGAGGACCGAACCGACUUACGUUGAAAAGUGAGCGGAUGAACUGAGGGUAGCGGAGAAAUUCCAAUCGAACCUGGAGAUAGCUGGUUCUCUCCGAAAUAGCUUUAGGGCUAGCCUCAAGUGAUGAUUAUUGGAGGUAGAGCACUGUUUGGACGAGGGGCCCCUCUCGGGUUACCGAAUUCAGACAAACUCCGAAUGCCAAUUAAUUUAACUUGGGAGUCAGAACAUGGGUGAUAAGGUCCGUGUUCGAAAGGGAAACAGCCCAGACCACCAGCUAAGGUCCCAAAAUAUAUGUUAAGUGGAAAAGGAUGUGGCGUUGCCCAGACAACUAGGAUGUUGGCUUAGAAGCAGCCAUCAUUUAAAGAGUGCGUAAUAGCUCACUAGUCGAGUGACACUGCGCCGAAAAUGUACCGGGGCUAAACAUAUUACCGAAGCUGUGGAUUGUCCUUUGGACAAUGGUAGGAGAGCGUUCUAAGGGCGUUGAAGCAUGAUCGUAAGGACAUGUGGAGCGCUUAGAAGUGAGAAUGCCGGUGUGAGUAGCGAAAGACGGGUGAGAAUCCCGUCCACCGAUUGACUAAGGUUUCCAGAGGAAGGCUCGUCCGCUCUGGGUUAGUCGGGUCCUAAGCUGAGGCCGACAGGCGUAGGCGAUGGAUAACAGGUUGAUAUUCCUGUACCACCUAUAAUCGUUUUAAUCGAUGGGGGGACGCAGUAGGAUAGGCGAAGCGUGCGAUUGGAUUGCACGUCUAAGCAGUAAGGCUGAGUAUUAGGCAAAUCCGGUACUCGUUAAGGCUGAGCUGUGAUGGGGAGAAGACAUUGUGUCUUCGAGUCGUUGAUUUCACACUGCCGAGAAAAGCCUCUAGAUAGAAAAUAGGUGCCCGUACCGCAAACCGACACAGGUAGUCAAGAUGAGAAUUCUAAGGUGAGCGAGCGAACUCUCGUUAAGGAACUCGGCAAAAUGACCCCGUAACUUCGGGAGAAGGGGUGCUCUUUAGGGUUAACGCCCAGAAGAGCCGCAGUGAAUAGGCCCAAGCGACUGUUUAUCAAAAACACAGGUCUCUGCUAAACCGUAAGGUGAUGUAUAGGGGCUGACGCCUGCCCGGUGCUGGAAGGUUAAGAGGAGUGGUUAGCUUCUGCGAAGCUACGAAUCGAAGCCCCAGUAAACGGCGGCCGUAACUAUAACGGUCCUAAGGUAGCGAAAUUCCUUGUCGGGUAAGUUCCGACCCGCACGAAAGGCGUAACGAUUUGGGCACUGUCUCAACGAGAGACUCGGUGAAAUCAUAGUACCUGUGAAGAUGCAGGUUACCCGCGACAGGACGGAAAGACCCCGUGGAGCUUUACUGUAGCCUGAUAUUGAAAUUCGGCACAGCUUGUACAGGAUAGGUAGGAGCCUUUGAAACGUGAGCGCUAGCUUACGUGGAGGCGCUGGUGGGAUACUACCCUAGCUGUGUUGGCUUUCUAACCCGCACCACUUAUCGUGGUGGGAGACAGUGUCAGGCGGGCAGUUUGACUGGGGCGGUCGCCUCCUAAAAGGUAACGGAGGCGCUCAAAGGUUCCCUCAGAAUGGUUGGAAAUCAUUCAUAGAGUGUAAAGGCAUAAGGGAGCUUGACUGCGAGACCUACAAGUCGAGCAGGGUCGAAAGACGGACUUAGUGAUCCGGUGGUUCCGCAUGGAAGGGCCAUCGCUCAACGGAUAAAAGCUACCCCGGGGAUAACAGGCUUAUCUCCCCCAAGAGUUCACAUCGACGGGGAGGUUUGGCACCUCGAUGUCGGCUCAUCGCAUCCUGGGGCUGUAGUCGGUCCCAAGGGUUGGGCUGUUCGCCCAUUAAAGCGGUACGCGAGCUGGGUUCAGAACGUCGUGAGACAGUUCGGUCCCUAUCCGUCGUGGGCGUAGGAAAUUUGAGAGGAGCUGUCCUUAGUACGAGAGGACCGGGAUGGACAUACCUCUGGUGUACCAGUUGUCGUGCCAACGGCAUAGCUGGGUAGCUAUGUGUGGACGGGAUAAGUGCUGAAAGCAUCUAAGCAUGAAGCCCCCCUCAAGAUGAGAUUUCCCAACUUCGGUUAUAAGAUCCCUCAAAGAUGAUGAGGUUAAUAGGUUCGAGGUGGAAGCAUGGUGACAUGUGGAGCUGACGAAUACUAAUCGAUCGAAGACUUAAUC
rnacentral:rRNA from 1 species